GACGAACGCUGGCGGCGUGCUUAACACAUGCAAGUCGAACGGGAACCUUUAUUUCGGUAAAGGUGAGAGUGGCAAACGGGUGAGUAACACGUAGGCAACCUGCCGACAGGAUGGGGACAACAUUCCGCAGGAAUGCUAAUACCGAAUGGAGUCCGAGGAUGGCAUCAUCCUUGGAUAAAAGAUGGCCUCUGAAUAUGCUAUCGCCUGUCGAUGGGCCUGCGUCUGAUUAGCCAGUUGGCGGGGUAACGGCCCACCAAAGCGACGAUCAGUAGCCGGUCUGAGAGGAUGAACGGCCACAUUGGGACUGAGACACGGCCCAGACUCCUACGGGAGGCAGCAGUGGGGAAUCUUCCACAAUGGGCGAAAGCCUGAUGGAGCAACGCCGCGUGAGUGAAGAAGGUCUUCGGAUCGUAAAGCUCUGUUGCACGGGACGAAAACUGGGUUUGAAAACAUUGAACCUGGGGGACG
rnacentral:rRNA from 1 species